UGUUGAAAAAUUAGCGGAUGACUUGUGGCUGGGGGUGAAAGGCCAAUCAAACCGGGAGAUAGCUGGUUCUCCCCGAAAGCUAUUUAGGUAGCGCCUCGUGAAUUCAUCUCCGGGGGUAGAGCACUGUUUCGGCAAGGGGGUCAUCCCGACUUACCAACCCGAUGCAAACUGCGAAUACCGGAGAAUGUUAUCACGGGAGACACACGGCGGGUGCUAACGUCCGUCGUGAAGAGGGAAACAACCCAGACCGCCAGCUAAGGUCCCAAAGUCAUGGUUAAGUGGGAAACGAUGUGGGAAGGCCCAGACAGCCAGGAUGUUGGCUUAGAAGCAGCCAUCAUUUAAAGAAAGCGUAAUAGCUCACUGGUCGAGUCGGCCUGCGCGGAAGAUGUAACGGGGCUAAACCAUGCACCGAAGCUGCGGCAGCGACACUAUGUGUUGUUGGGUAGGGGAGCGUUCUGUAAGCCUGUGAAGGUGUGCUGUGAGGCAUGCUGGAGGUAUCAGAAGUGCGAAUGCUGACAUAAGUAACGAUAAAGCGGGUGAAAAGCCCGCUCGCCGGAAGACCAAGGGUUCCUGUCCAACGUUAAUCGGGGCAGGGUGAGUCGACCCCUAAGGCGAGGCCGAAAGGCGUAGUCGAUGGGAAACAGGUUAAUAUUCCUGUACUUGGUGUUACUGCGAAGGG
rnacentral:rRNA from 1 species